UACGUAGGUCACAAGCGUUGUCCGGAUUUAUUGGGCGUAAAGGGAGCGCAGGCGGUUUGUUAAGUCUGAUGUGAAAGCCCACGGCUCAACCGUGGAGGUGCAUUGGAAACUGGCAAACUUGAGUGCAGAAGAGGAAAGUGGAAUUCCAUGUGUAGCGGUGAAAUGCGUAGAUAUAUGGAGGAACACCAGUGGCGAAGGCGAUUCUCUGGACUGUAACUGACGCUGAGGCUCGAAAGCGUGGGGAGCAAACAGGAUUAGA
rnacentral:rRNA from 1 species